GACGAACGCUGGCGGCGUGCCUAAUACAUGCAAGUAGAACGCUGAAGAGAGGAGCUUGCUCUUCUUGGAUGAGUUGCGAACGGGUGAGUAACGCGUAGGUAACCUGCCUGGUAGCGGGGGAUAACUAUUGGAAACGAUAGCUAAUACCGCAUAAAAUUGAUUAUUGCAUGAUAAUUAAUUGAAAGAUGCAACUGCAUCACUACCAGAUGGACCUGCGUUGUAUUAGCUAGUUGGUGAGGUAACGGCUCACCAAGGCGACGAUACAUAGCCGACCUGAGAGGGUGAUCGGCCACACUGGGACUGAGACACGGCCCAGACUCCUACGGGAGGCAGCAGUAGGGAAUCUUCGGCAAUGGGGGGAACCCUGACCGAGCAACGCCGCGUGAGUGAAGAAGGUUUUCGAAUCGUAAAGCUCUGUUGUAAGAGAAGAACGGGUGUGAGAGUGGAAAGUUCACACUGUGACGGUAUCUGACCAGAAAGGGACGGCUAACUACGUG
rnacentral:rRNA from 1 species